UACGGGGGGGGCGAGCGUUGUUCGGAAUUACUGGGCGUAAAGGGUUUGUAGGUGGCCUGCUAAGUCAGACGUGAAAUCCCUCAGCUUAACUGGGGAACUGCGUCUGAUACUGGCGGGCUUGAGGACAGGAGAGGAACGCGGAAUUCCAGGUGUAGCGGUGAAAUGCGCAGAUAUCAGGAGGAACACCGGUGGCGAAGGCGGGUCUCUGGGCAGUAACUGACGCUGAGGAGCGAAAGCGUGGGGAGCGAACAGG
rnacentral:rRNA from 1 species